rnacentral:rRNA from 1 species
CCCCUAGAGGAGCCUGUUCUAUAAUCGAUAAUCCACGAUCUACCUCACCAUCUCUUGCCAAUACCGCCUAUAUACCGCCGUCACCAGCCUACCCUAUGAAGGAUAUAAAAGUAAGCAAAAUAGCACACCAGCUAACAAGUCAGGUCAAGGUGUAGCUUACUGAGAUGGAAGAAAUGGGCUACAUUUUCUAAACUAGAAAUCAUUUCACGGAAAGAACUAUGAAACAAGUCCUAUAAGUAGGAUUUAGCAGUAAAUAGGGAUCAGAAUGCCCAAUUUAAGCCGGUCCUAAGGUACGC